rnacentral:rRNA from 1 species
AUUGAACGCUGGCGGCAGGCCUAACACAUGCAAGUCGAGCGAGAAAGGUCUUCGGACUGAGUACAGCGGCGGACGGGUGAGUAAAGCGUAGGAAUCUACCUGGUAGUGGGGGAUAACUUGGGGAAACUCAAACUAAUACCGCAUACGCCCUACGGGGAAAGCGGGGACCGUUCGGGCCUCGCGCUAUCAGAUGAGCCUGCGUAGGAUUAGCUAGUUGGUGAGGUAAAGGCUCACCAAGGCGACGAUCCUUAGCUGGUCUGAGAGGAUGAUCAGCCACACUGGGACUGAGACACGGCCCAGACUCCUACGGGAGGCAGCAGUGGGGAAUAUUGCGCAAUGGGCGAAAGCCUGACGCAGCCAUGCCGCGUGUGUGAAGAAGGCCUUAGGGUUGUAAAGCACUUUCAAUUGGGAAGAAAAGUUGGUCGUUAAUAAGCGGCCAGCCCUGACAUUACCUUUAGAAGAAGGACCGGCUAACUCCGUG